ensembl:lncRNA
CAUAAGCCUCCCCUCCGUCCAUUAGGUUGUAGCUGCAGAAGCCUCCUAUUGCUGCUUGUCUGAGCUACAAAAAGUGUUGCUGCUUUUUCUUCUUCUUUGAUUUGUUUUGGGUUUCGUAGCUUUACUUGUUUUUGAGACGGGAGUGUCCAAUCCAGUAACAGGCUGGGCACUAAAGCUUCCGACUCCCAGUUCUUUUCUUUUUUUGUUUUGUUUUAUUUUUCUUUUAUUUUUUGUCGUCACUCCACCAAAGUCCACAUAAAAAAAAGGAAAAAAAGGGUUACAUCAGUCAACAGGACGAUGGAGGAAGCAUCUCUACUACGUCUAAACUGUAAGCAGUAAAUUUCUUAGUUUUAAAUGUUGAAUGUUUACUGUUUAAUAAUAAGUGAUGUAGACACGAACAAGAUGUCAGGCUCCCAGCUGCUUUCUAUAAAGAUGGCUCCCUCAUCAGGAAGCAGCCUACAGGUCACAUGACCAUCCAGCAUGUUUCCAGGUCUGAUGAAGGCCUCUACAAGUGUGACAUCAGCGGUCAUGGAGAGUCUCCAUCCAGCUGGAUCACUGUCACAGGGGAACACACCACCACACCUCCACCUGCAUUUUCUGCUGGUUCGUCCCUUCUCCCUGUGUUGCUGACAGCUCAAUCAGCCUGUGUUGUAGUUAUACUGGAGUUACUGGUUCUUUUGCUGGAAUGAAACGUUCAAAGGAAACUCAAAGGUGAGACUCACAUUCCUGGGUUUUUCUUUCAGGCUUCUUUCAAUGAGCAGAGUUUCUACUUAAUAUGUUUGUGGUGGAUCAUAAAUUUGAUUAGUUUUGGAGUUGUACAUCUCUGUUCCUUAUAUUUCAUGUCAUGCUUUUAUUAUUGUUUUAUUUGUUGUUUUGACUGUUUUGCUCUAUAGAAUAUACAGUGGGAAGGUAGAGGGAGAUAAGUAGUGAAAGUUUUGCCUGGGUUGAUUGUGCGUCAAUCCAUUGGUAAUGCCUCAGGACUCCAGUAGGUGGAUUCACGCAUCUUCUCCUUCACUCAAUACAGACGAGUGAGAGCGAGAGCUGCGUGUCCGUUCCAUUCUUUCACCUCUCCUCACUAUUUCCCCUGUUUAAGGGCUCAGCAUGUUUGAGUGUUUCUGUUAGUACCUUUAUCAGUUUUAAGGAAUAUUCAAAGCAAAGAUAAAUGCACAUUUAUGAAGAGUAGCUAUUCUGAUCACAGUGUGUCCUGAUUGACCAAUUUAUUACACAUUUUGCAUAUUUACUGAGCCAAUCACAUUGCAGCAGCUCAGUGCUGUGAGACGUAACAUUUUCACAAUGUUUGAAUCUAUAUUUCACACACAUGUGCAAAAAACAAACAUUUGGGAUCAGAGGGCGGGGCUUACUUUGUGUGUCUAACAAAAAAGAAAACACAUAGGUCACAUCAGUCAAGGCAACAAUGAAGGAAACAUCUCUGCUCUGUAAGUGGACAAUUUCUUUGUUUUUAUAGUGUGUAACCUUUACUGUCUACUAAUAGCUGAUGAUUGAGGGGAAGACAUAAAGAAGAUGUCAGGCUGGAUCCAGGCAGCAGGUUAAAAAGGAGUUUUUACAGUUUUUCCAGUAGACUUCACUGAAUUAGUUAUUAUGUCAGCUUAUGUUUAAAGUGGACACACGAGUUAAAAGUUGUGGUUAUGUUACUUAUGCAUCCAGUACAGAAAACAUGAAGUAAUCACUAAAAGAACAGCUUUACAGACUUGGUGUUAGAGGUGUGGGAGCAGAAAUGCACAGUGGAAACAGACUGAUAGUCUGAUCUGGUUCACAUUUAAAAAGACAAAUAUACUUCAAAGACAGAUUUAUAUCUGUAUGUUUAAUUUUACUGAGUAAAAUGAUACAAAUUAAUGGCCGACUUUGUAAAUCGGUCCUCGCUCAACAUCGCUUCAUGCCGUGAUGUGAAAACCUAACAGCUGGGAUUCAGACUGUGGGUUUACCCCAAUCACUCUGAUGCCAUAAAGUGAUUUACAGUGUUUGUAUCUGAGUUUACCUCUGAUAACUUUGCUUAUCUUGAUAAAUAGUCUGCAGUCAACAUGAUUAACCAAGGAAUUACAUCUAAAAUAAAGACAUUACCUGUUUAUAUUAACUUAACAGGCAGGUCUUUGCACUGUGGAGUACUGUGGAGACAACCCACAGACACGCAGCUUUUUUUUUUUUUUUUUACAAAACUGCUACAUUAUUUUAGACAUGGCAGCUACAAACUACAGUCUUCCAUUUUUCUAUGUUUCUGUGACCACAAAAUAAAAAGGAACAGCCAGAAAUCAAUGACUAAAGCAGACAUGAACUUUUCUCAGUUACAUUUCAAAACACAUUUUUGGCCUUUUCUUGGUGGGAGGUACUCUAAACUAAUACAGGUGUCAUUUCUCUUUAGUUCUGACUCCAGUGCUUUGCUGCACAACAAACCAAGCUACACCUCCACCUGCAGCCACAGCUCCAUCUGCAGCCACCUCUGCAUUGGCCUCUCUGGAUUUUUACUCUCUUCUCCCCAUGGUGGUGACUGCUGCGUUGGUCUGUCUCGUGGUUGUAGUGGUGUUAAUGUUUCUUUUGAUGGAACAAACCAGUCACAGUCAACUUGAAGAGAGGACAGACAACAUCAUUUAUGGAGAAAUCGUCACCAAAGACAAGCAACACAAAUCAGCUAAAAGAGAGUUUCCAAGAGAGCCAGACGUCAUCUACUCUGAAGUGAAGCAUUUCACCAGUCCAGCCACUGAGAUCCAGCUGCAGGUCUCUCACAGUCCUCAAAGCACCUGAUGAAGAUUUUUAUGUGAAGAACCUGCAAAAACAAAGAAAUAAACAAAUGUGCCUUCAGCAACAUGUAGUUAAGCGAGAAUAUAACUAAUAUAUUAAUCUAAUGCUGUGUAUUUAAUGCUAUUUAUAUAUUUUAUUUCUAAAUGUGGGGCCCUGCUGGUGUCUUCACAGCAGUAAUUUGGUUUCUCUGCAGGAUCAGUAAACUUUAGUCUCCCUUGCUGUUCUUCUCAUGUGGCUUUGUGAGUUUCAUAAAGACGUCUGAGAGGAAACUAUGAAUAGUUACGGCCAACAGAUACACACCUCUGUUUGGAGCAGAUAACAAAGAAAGAAACAAUCAAAACUUGACUUCAACUGCAGACUAAAGCAGGAAUCAUUCAAAGCUGGAAAAUAAAGACUGAGAACAAAGUGUGUGAGUUUGAAUAACUUUGAUUUGAAGAAAUUAAAUAUUAAAUAUGUGAGACUUUAUUUUCAGGUCAUUUGCGGCUUGUCUAGAGUCCUCGCUUGUUGUUGUUUUUACUGUAACAUACUAAACAUGCGCUUUUUCAGUCCAAAGGUUUUCAAAUUGGGGUUUCCAAACAGGCAGAACAACCCUAACCUUGUAUGAGUUGCCAAAGACCUGAUAGCUGUGAGGGGGUAAAACUGAUCAAGUGGGGACAAAAAGAGAAAUGCUUCUUCACAUCUGUCUUUAGUUCUUUUAAGCUAUGUAUUGGUGCUGUUUAUUCAGUUUAUCCUACUGUAAUAAAUGCUCACUUGCAGGAGUCAUGUGUUUGUAGAAAAAUGAGCUGUAAUGUGUUCUGGGAGGAGUGAAAUGCAGUUCAUGAAUGUGAUAUUUGCCUGUAAGCUUUAUACAACUGUGUCCUUCUGUUUAAGUGUGAAAUAAAAUGAAUAUGAUGAUAAAGUGA